GGCGGCAGAACCAAGAGCCCACAGAACAGACUUUCGGAAGCUGGGGUCAGAGAGAACCUAGGCCAACAACAGUCACAUAGAAGACCCAACUGGCCUUCCUUCCAGCACAAGCAGGAAAAACCUGGAAAAGAAGUGAAGGUUCUGACCCCAUGCAAGGGCAAGCUAAAGAGGCUUCUGAAUGGGGGCUGGAGAUACCAAAGAGCAAGUAAGCUUCUUGUAUCCAACUAGUGAUGCAUUCUGCAGUCAAGAAAAUUAACUCAGAAAAGGAAAUCCAGUGAGAUGGUUCAGUAGGUAAAUAAAAGCACUUGCUGUUAAGUCUGACCUUCAUUCCAACCCGUGGGACCCACAAGAUAGAAGACUCCCAACAACUUAAUCUCUGACCACCCCAACCCCACUGUGGCAUCUGCGCUUCUCACGAUAAAUAAAGGUAAAAAUAAAUAAAUAAAAGAUUUUGUUUGGA
ensembl:antisense Gm15747 predicted gene 15747